rnacentral:rRNA from 1 species
AUGUCUGAAUCCUGGGAGGAUUUGUUUCCUUUGGUCUCUGUCAGGAAGCUGGUUCGUGAAAUUUUAGAUCACAAUCCCUUGUUGCUGAACACGGGUGAGGAGGGGCGUGAGGCUCCGAAACCAAGAGAGUUUCGGUUCGACCUGGCCUGGGUAAAAGAUGAUAGAUUCCUGCCGUUGGUUCAGAAAAUUUGUUCACGCAGGGUUUUUUCUUCCGACCCCAUUGAUGUUUUAAACAUCAAGCUCAAGAGGUUUAAGUCUUAUUUUAAAGGGUGGGGCUCGGAUAGAUUUGGUCAUGAUAAGAAAAGAAAGGAAGACCUUCGGAUGGAGCUGGAAAUGUUGGAAGAAUUAGAAGAAGAAGCCCCUCUUUCUCCUGAGCUGUACAGUAGAAAGAUCGAUGUCUGUUUUGAACUUCAUGAGUUGCUUGUCAAUGAGGAAAUUUUUUGGUUACAACAAUCGCACGAGCGAUGGUUGCUCAAAGGGGAUUUGAAUACUGAUUACUUCGAUCGUAUAGCUAAUGGACGUAAACGGAAAAACACGAUCCACUCCCUUAAGGUUGGCGACAUGGAGAUAGAGGGCACCGAUAAGCUGAUUGUGCACGCCACGGAGUUCUAUAAAGAAUUGUUCGGCCCAGCUCCUGGAAACCAGUUUCACCUAGAUCCUGACACAUGGGCACCAGAGGAAAAACUUAGUGAGGAGGAUAAUACUGACCUGUGUAGAGAGUUCUCGGAGGAGGGGGUCAAGGAGGCCCUGUUUGACAUG